UACAGAGGUCCCAAGCGUUGUUCGGAUUCACUGGGCGUAAAGGGUGCGUAGGCGGUCGGGUAAGUCUGAUGUGAAAUCCCCGGGCUUAACCUGGGAACUGCAUUUGGGACUGCAAGGCUUGAGUGCGGCAGAGGGGGGUAGAAUUCCACGUGUAGCAGUGAAAUGCGUAGAGAUGUGGAGGAACACCGAUGGCGAAGGCAGCCCCCUGGGUCAAGAUUGACGCUCAUGCACGAAAGCGUGGGGAGCAAACAGG
rnacentral:rRNA from 1 species